AGCAAAUGUAUUUGAUGUGUGGACACAUUUACCUUGCACCAAUAUUUGGGUCCUUUUUAACAAUAUAUGUCUUAAACAGUAGAAAAGUGCAGUAAAUCAGCGAGAGCUGAGAGCCUCCAAUUUUCAAUGAUAUUCUUCCUACUCAGUGUUAUUUCUUCAUAAAGUCUGGAUAACACAUUAUUUCUCAAGAUUUUCCGUACUUAUAUUCCUAUAAGAACAUUGUUUUUAUUUAUUAUUUAGGAAAUUGUUUGCUUACUAUUCAUAGUCAGCAAUUUCACCCAUAUUUAAUACUAACUCUAAUAAGACAUGGAAUAAUUUUUAGGUAUUUAUGUGACCUAGUAUCUUUCUUAGACUUUCGAAAAUAAUUUAAUGACAGUUUGGUUUAAAUAGCAAAGAUGCAAAGUGUGAUUAUGAUCUCUCUAUUCCUUCGUUUUUUUUCUUUUUAUUUUAACAAAACCACUAUCACCAAUCAAGAUAGUACUUUCCUAAGAACAUUAUGCGUGCUGAAUUUUUCAAGCAACUAGAUGUCCAUAUUUAUCACAUCCAUGUAUUAGUUGCUUUGCUACGCAUACCCAAAGUUCAAUUUAGAGCAACAAAUAUAAGACCUACUUGAGAUGCUGUGUCAAUAUGGAAAAUAUUAGAUCUAACACCCAAAAAAUUUAGAGAAGUGCAACA
rnacentral:misc_RNA from 1 species